rnacentral:rRNA from 1 species
UACGGAGGAUCCAAGCGUUAUCCGGAAUCAUUGGGUUUAAAGGGUCCGUAGGCGGUUUAAUAAGUCAGUGGUGAAAUCUGGUCGCUCAAUGAUCAAACGGCCAUUGAUACUGUUAGACUUGAAUUAUUAGGAAGUAACUAGAAUAUGUAGUGUAGCGGUGAAAUGCUUAGAUAUUACAUGGAAUACCAAUUGCGAAGGCAGGUUACUACUAAUGGAUUGACGCUGAUGGACGAAAGCGUGGGGAGCGAACAGG